rnacentral:rRNA from 1 species
UCCUACGGGAGGCAGCAGUGGGGAAUAUUGGACAAUGGGGGCAACCCUGAUCCAGCAAUGCCGCGUGUGUGAAGAAGGUCUUCGGAUUGUAAAGCACUUUCGACGGGGACGAUGAUGACGGUACCCGUAGAAGAAGCCCCGGCUAACUUCGUGCCAGCAGCCGCGGUAAUA